UUAUUUUUUGCAGCACAUAUACUAAAAUUGGAACGAUACAGAGAAGAUUAGCAUGGCCCCUGUGCAAGGAUGACAUGCAGAUCUGUGAAGCGUUCCCCUAUUCU
rfam:Tupaia chinensis contig58891, whole genome shotgun sequence.